AUGACUAAGAACAUUGGUAACAUUCACACCCUUAAUAUAAUAAGUAUCCUUCUUAUCCUGAUCGAUAUCAAGUACUCUUACUUAUCAUGGUUAAUAAAAAUAUAUUGUCGUACUAUUUAUUUCAUAAGCUACAGAUUCACUAAUUAUCUAGAUAACAUCCUUGUUCUCCUGGGCUUUGCUUUCCAUACUUCAUCUUCAUCUUCAAGCAUUGUAUUUUUGGCUUUUGCCUUAACACGUUUCUUGUUCCCGCAGGCAGCUUUGUCCUUUUGUUCAAGCAUAUUCGUCUCAAUGCAUUCAUCCUCUGAGCUAUCUGAUAUUGCAACAGAUCUAAGUCUCCUUUUAUUGCCACUUCGGAGCACAUGUGAUGAUGAUGAUACUUUGUCUUGA
rnacentral:rRNA from 1 species